GAGUUUGAUCCUGGCUCAGAUUGAACGCUGGCGGAAUGCUUUACACAUGCAAGUCGAGCGGCAGCGCGGGGCAACCUGGCGGCGAGCGGCGAACGGGUGAGUAAUGCAUCGGAACAUGUCCAUUGAUGGGGGAUAGCCCGGCGAAAGCCGGAUUAAUACCGCAUGAGCCCGAGAGGGGAAAGUGGGGGACCGCAAGGCCUCACGUCGAUGGGUUGGCCGAUGCCCGAUUAGCUAGUUGGUGAGGUAAAGGCUCACCAAGGCGAUGAUCGGUAGCUGGUCUGAGAGGAUGAUCAGCCACACUGGGACUGAGACACGGCCCAGACUCCUACGGGAGGCAGCAGUGGGGAAUUUUGGACAAUGGGGGCAACCCUGAUCCAGCCAUUCCGCGUGAGUGAAGAAGGCCUCGGUUGU
rnacentral:rRNA from 1 species